GACGAACGCUGGCGGCGUGCUUAACACAUGCAAGUCGAGCGGAAAGGCUCCUUCGGGGGUACUCGAGCGGCGAACGGGUGAGUAACACGUGAGUAAUCUGCCCUGUGCUCUGGGAUAGCCACCGGAAACGGUGAUUAAUACCGGAUAUGACCGCUACACGCAUGUGUUGGUGGGGGACAGUUUUUCGGGACAGGAUGUGCUCGCGGCCUAUCAGCUUGUGGGUGAGGUAAUGGCUCACCAAGGCUUUGACGGGUAGCCGGCCUGAGAGGGUGACCGGUCACACUGGGACUGAGACACGGCCCAGACUCCUACGGGAGGCAGCAGUGGGGAAUAUUGGACAAUGGGCGGAGGCCUGAUCCAGCAACGCCGCGUGAGGGAUGACGGCCUUCGGGUUGUAAACCUCUUUCAGUACCGACGAAGCGAGAGUGACGGUAGGUACAGAAGAAGGACCGGCCAACUACGUGCCAGCCGCCGCGGUAACAC
rnacentral:rRNA from 1 species